AGAGUACAUUCCAUGAGAAGGUUCCAGAUAAAAUCGGGGAGGAUCAGACUUGGCCUGAGAGCUGACUUGGUACCAGCUGAUGUCACUGAAAGGCCUUCCUGCCCGAGGAGCUGAAUAAUUUCUGAGGUCCUGACUCCGUGGUCCUGCCUUGAGUUCCUGCUUUUACUUCCCUUCAUGGUGGAGUGUGAUGGCGACAUGUGAACCAAAUAAACCUUUUUCUUGCCAAA